rnacentral:rRNA from 1 species
GAUGAACGCUGGCGGCGUGCCUAAUACAUGCAAGUCGAGCGAACGGACGAGAAGCUUGCUUCUCUGAUGUUAGCGGCGGACGGGUGAGUAACACGUGGAUAACCUACCUAUAAGACUGGGAUAACUUCGGGAAACCGGAGCUAAUACCGGAUAAUAUUUUGAACCGCAUGGUUCAAAAGUGAAAGACGGUCUUGCUGUCACUUAUAGAUGGAUCCGCGCUGCAUUAGCUAGUUGGUAAGGUAACGGCUUACCAAGGCAACGAUGCAUAGCCGACCUGAGAGGGUGAUCGGCCACACUGGAACUGAGACACGGUCCAGACUCCUACGGGAGGCAGCAGUAGGGAAUCUUCCGCAAUGGGCGAAAGCCUGACGGAGCAACGCCGCGUGAGUGAUGAAGGUCUUCGGAUCGUAAAACUCUGUUAUUAGGGAAGAACAUAUGUGUAAGUAACUGUGCACAUCUUGACGGUACCUAAUCAGAAAGCCACGGCUAACUACGUGCCAGCAGCCGCGGUAAUACGUAGGUGGCAAGCGUUAUCCGGAAUUAUUGGGCGUAAAGCGCGCGUAGGCGGUUUUUUAAGUCUGAUGUGAAAGCCCACGGCUCAACCGUGGAGGGUCAUUGGAAACUGGAAAACUUGAGUGCAGAAGAGGAAAGUGGAAUUCCAUGUGUAGCGGUGAAAUGCGCAGAGAUAUGGAGGAACACCAGUGGCGAAGGCGACUUUCUGGUCUGUAACUGACGCUGAUGUGCGAAAGCGUGGGGAUCAAACAGGAUUAGAUACUCUGGUAGUCCACGCCGUAAACGAUGAGUGCUAAGUGUUAGGGGGUUUCCGCCCCUUAGUGCUGCAGCUAACGCAUUAAGCACUCCGCCUGGGGAGUACGACCGCAAGGUUGAAACUCAAAGGAAUUGACGGGGACCCGCACAAGCGGUGGAGCAUGUGGUUUAAUUCGAAGCAACGCGAAGAACCUUACCAAAUCUUGACAUCCUUUGACAACUCUAGAGAUAGAGCUUUCCCCUUCGGGGGACAAAGUGACAGGUGGUGCAUGGUUGUCGUCAGCUCGUGUCGUGAGAUGUUGGGUUAAGUCCCGCAACGAGCGCAACCCUUAAGCUUAGUUGCCAUCAUUAAGUUGGGCACUCUAAGUUGACUGCCGGUGACAAACCGGAGGAAGGUGGGGAUGACGUCAAAUCAUCAUGCCCCUUAUGAUUUGGGCUACACACGUGCUACAAUGGACAAUACAAAGGGCAGCGAAACCGCGAGGUCAAGCAAAUCCCAUAAAGUUGUUCUCAGUUCGGAUUGUAGUCUGCAACUCGACUACAUGAAGCUGGAAUCGCUAGUAAUCGUAGAUCAGCAUGCUACGGUGAAUACGUUCCCGGGUCU